AGGGCGAUCGGGUCCACCGCCCGGGUGACCAGGAGGUAGUCGCGCAUUGCUAUGGAGUGGCGCCCCUC
rfam:Frankia sp. CcI3, complete genome.